AUUAAGAAUAGUUGAAAAAAAAAUAUUUUAACUUGGACUCAAUGGCCCAAAGGAAAAAAAAAGUGAGAAUUGAAUCUGAUUUUUUAAUAGGCCCAAAUGACCCAAGAGAGAUUUGAUUUGGGCUGGAUCCAAAAAUAAUGACCCAAUAUAGAUUUGUUAUUAAUAUUACUUAAUUGCCCUUAAUGAAACAUGCAAUUUUAGUGAAGGAAACAUGCCCCUAAGGUAAUUAUGACAAUAGGAUCCUGCUUUAAUAGUAUAGAUACUAUAGUUAACAGAAAAGGAUGAAUUCACAUUCCGACAAUAGUAGAUAAAAUCUUUACCUUUUU
rnacentral:lncRNA from 1 species